rnacentral:rRNA from 1 species
CCUGGUUGAUCCUGCCAGUAGUCAUAUGCUUGUCUCAAAGAUUAAGCCAUGUAUGUCUAAGUAUAAGCAACUAUACUGUGAAACUGCGAAUGGCUCAUUAAAUCAGUUAUCGUUUAUUUGAUAGUAACCUACUACAUGGAAUACCUGUGGAAAAUCUAGAGCUAAUACAUGCUAAAGCCCCAACUUCGGGAGGGGUGUGUUUAUUAGAUAAAAAGCCAACGCCCUUCGGGGCUUCUUGGUGAUUCAUGAUAACCUUUCUGAUCGCACGGCCCCGCGCCCGCGACGGUUCAUUCAAAUUUCUGCCCUAUCAACUUUCGAUGGUAGAGUAGUGGUCUACCAUGGUGUCAACGGGUAACGGGGAAUUAGGGUUCGAUUCCGGAGAGGGAGCCUGAGAAACGGCUACCACAUCCAAGGAAGGCAACAGGCGCGCAAAUUACACAAUGUCGACUCGACGAUGUAGUGACAAUAAAUACUGAUACAGGGCUCUUUUGGGUCUUGUAAUUGGAAUGAGUACAAUUUAAAUCUCUUAACGAGGAACAAUUAGAGGGCAAGUCUGGUGCCAGCAGCCGCGGUAAUUCCAGCUCUAAUAGCGUAUAUUAAAGUUGUUGCAGUUAAAAAGCUCGUAGUUGAACCUUUGGCUUGGCGGGGGCGUCCGCCUCACCGCGUGUUACGUGACCUGCCGAGCCUUUUUUUCUGGAGAACCGCAUGCCCUUCACUGGGUGUGUUGGGGACCAGGACUUUUACUUUGAAAAAAUUAGAGUGUUCAAAGCAGGCCUUUGCUCGAAUACGUUAGCAUGGAAUAAUGGAAUAGGACGUGCGGUCCUAUUUUGUU